rnacentral:rRNA from 1 species
UCCGAAUGGGGAAACCCACUGCUUCGGCAGUAUCUUGCAGUGAAUUCAUAGCUGCUUGAAGCGAACCCGGUGAACUGAAAUAUCUAAGUAACCGGAGGAAAAGAAAUCAACCGAGAUUCCCUGAGUAGUGACGAGCGAACGGGGAACAGCCCUUAAGCUGGAAUGGCUUUAGAAAAACAAUCUGGAAAGAUUGGCCAUAGAAGGUGAUAGCCCUGUAUUUAAAAGGGCCACUCCAGUGAAGACGAGUAGGGCGGGGCACGUGAAACCCUGUCUGAAUAUGGGGGGACCAUCCUCCAAGGCUAAAUACUCCUGACCGACCGAUAGUGAACCAGUACCGUGAGGGAAAGGCGAAAAGAACCCCGGAGAGGGGAGUGAAAUAGAUCCUGAAACCGUGUGCGUACAAGCAGUAGGAGCUCGCAAGAGUGACUGCGUACCUUUUGUAUAAUGGGUCAGCGACUUACUGUUCGUGGCAAGCUUAACCGUAUAGGGGAGGCGAAGGGAAACCGAGUCUGAUAAGGGCGCAUAGUCGCGGGCAGUAGACCCGAAACCGGGUGAUCUAGUCAUGGCCAGGGUGAAGGUGCCGUAACAGGUACUGGAGGCCCGAACCCACGUCUGUUGCAAAAGACGGGGAUGAGCUGUGAUUAGGAGUGAAAAGCUAAUCGAACCCGGAGAUAGCUGGUUCUCCUCGAAAGCUAUUUAGGUAGCGCCUCGGACGAAUACUACUGGGGGUAGAGCACUGUUAUGGCUAGGGGGUCAUCGCGACUUACCAAACCAUUGCAAACUCCGAAUACCAGUACGUACUAUCCGGGAGACACACGGCGGGUGCUAACGUCCGUCGUGAAAAGGGAAACAACCCAGACCCACAGCUAAGGUCCCAAAUUCACUGCUAAGUGGAAAACGAUGUGGAAAGGCAUAGACAGCCAGGAGGUUGGCUUAGAAGCAGCCACCCUUUAAAGAAAGCGUAAUAGCUCACUGGUCGAGUCGGUCUGCGCGGAAGAUUUAACGGGGCUAAGCAGUGAACCGAAGCUUGGGGUGCGUAAAACUUCGGUUUUAUGCGCGGUAGAGGAGCGUUCCGUAAGCCUGCGAAGGUGGAUUGAGAAGUCUGCUGGAGGUAUCGGAAGUGCGAAUGCUGACAUGAGUAACGAUAAUGCGGGUGAAAAGCCCGCACGCCGAAAGCCCAAGGUUUCCUUGCGCAACGUUAAUCGACGCAGGGUUAGUCGGUCCCUAAGGCGAGGGCGAAAGCCGUAGUCGAUGGGAAGCAGGUUAAUAUUCCUGCACCUCGCGUGAGUGCGAUGGAGGGACGGAGAAGGUUAGGUGUACCGGGCGUUGGUUGUCCCGGGGAAAGGCGGUAGGUUUGGAUCUUUGGCAAAUCCGGGAUCCUUUAAGACCGAGCACCGAGACGAGCCUUUAUGGCGAAGUCACUGAUACCACGCUUCCAGGAAAAGCUCCUAAGCUUCAGCUCACGAAGACCGUACCGUAAACCGACACAGGUGGGUAGGAUGAGAAUUCUCAGGCGCUUGAGAGAACUCGGGUGAAGGAACUAGGCAACAUGGCACCGUAACUUCGGGAGAAGGUGCACCCUUUUUGGUGGCUCAUGCGAGCUAUAGCUGAAGAGGGUCGCAGAAACCAGGCCGCUGCGACUGUUUAUCAAAAACACAGCACUCUGCAAACACGAAAGUGGACGUAUAGGGUGUGACGCCUGCCCGGUGCUGGAAGGUUAAUUGAUGGGGUCAGCCGCAAGGCGAAGCUCUUGAUCGAAGCCCCAGUAAACGGCGGCCGUAACUAUAACGGUCCUAAGGUAGCGAAAUUCCUUGUCGGGUAAGUUCCGACCUGCACGAAUGGCGUAACGACAGCGGCGCUGUCUCCACCCGAGACUCAGUGAAAUUGAAAUCGCUGUGAAGAUGCAGCGUUCCCGUGGCAAGACGGAAAGACCCCGUGAACCUUUACUAUAGCUUUACACUGAACGUUGAGUUCGUCUGUGUAGGAUAGGUGGGAGGCUAUGAAACUGUGGCGCUAGCUGCAGUGGAGCCAACCUUGAAAUACCACCCUGUCGUGCUUGACGUUCUAACCUAGAUCCGUUAUCCGGAUCAGGGACCGUGUAUGGUGGGUAGUUUGACUGGGGCGGUCUCCUCCUAAAGAGUAACGGAGGAGCACGAAGGUACGCUCAGCGCGGUCGGACAUCGCGCACUGUGUGCAAAGGCAUAAGCGUGCUUGACUGCAAGAUCGACGGAUCAAGCAGGUACGAAAGUAGGUCUUAGUGAUCCGGUGGUUCUGUAUGGAAGGGCCAUCGCUCAACGGAUAAAAGGUACUCCGGGGAUAACAGGCUGAUACCGCCCAAGAGUUCAUAUCGACGGCGGUGUUUGGCACCUCGAUGUCGGCUCAUCACAUCCUGGGGCUGUAGUCGGUCCCAAGGGUAUGGCUGUUCGCCAUUUAAAGUGGUACGCGAGCUGGGUUCAGAACGUCGUGAGACAGUUCGGUCCCUAUCUGCCAUGGGCGUUGGAAGUUUGAGAGGGGCUGCUCCUAGUACGAGAGGACCGGAGUGGACGAACCUCUGGUGUUCCGGUUGUCACGCCAGUGGCAUUGCCGGGUAGCUAUGUUCGGAAGCGAUAACCGCUGAAAGCAUCUAAGCGGGAAGCGCGCCUCAAGAUGAGACUUCCCGGGGCACAAGCCCCCUAAAGGAACCAUAUAGACUAUGUGGUUGAUAGGUCAGGUGUGU